UACGAAGGGGGCUAGCGUUGUUCGGAAUCACUGGGCGUAAAGCGCACGUAGGCGGAUCUUUAAGUCAGGGGUGAAAUCCCGAGGCUCAACCUCGGAACUGCCUUUGAUACUGGGGAUCUCGAGUCCGGGAGAGGUGAGUGGAACUGCGAGUGUAGAGGUGAAAUUCGUAGAUAUUCGCAAGAACACCAGUGGCGAAGGCGGCUCACUGGACCGUAACUGACGCUGAAACACGAAAGCGUGGGUAGCAAACAGG
rnacentral:rRNA from 1 species